rnacentral:rRNA from 1 species
CACGUAGUUAGCCGUGACUUUCUAGGUAAUUACCGUCAAAUAAAGGCCAGUUACUACCUCUAUCUUUCUUCACUACCAACAGAGCUUUACGAGCCGAAACCCUUCUUCACUCACGCGGCGUUGCUCCAUCAGACUUGUGUCCAUUGUGGAAGAUUCCCUACUGCUGCCUCCCGUAGGAGUUUGGGCCGUGUCUCAGUCCCAAUGUGGCCGAUCAGUCUCUCAACUCGGCUAUGCAUCAUUGCCUUGGUAAGCCGUUACCUUACCAACUAGCUAAUGCACCGCAGGUCCAUCCAAGAGUGAUAGCAGAACCAUCUUUUAAACUCUAGACAUGCGUCUAGUGUUGUUAUCCGGUAUUAGCAUCUUGUUUCCAGGUGUUACUCCCUAGUCUCGUUGGGCUAGGUUACCCACGUUGUUACCUCCACCCGUCCGCCGUCUAGCUUGUAUUCUUAGUUUCUAUUUUAGUGACAAGCAACUAAAAUCAUCUAGCAAGCUCGCUCGACUUGCUAU